CUCAGACAGCCAGGAUGUUGGCUUAGAAGCAGCCAUCAUUUAAAGAAAGCGUAAUAGCUCACUGGUCGAGUCGGCCUGCGCGGAAGAUGUAACGGGGCUAAACUAUGCACCGAAGCUGCGGCAGCGAUAUGUAAAUAUUGUUGGGUAGGGGAGCGUUCUGUAAGCCUGUGAAGGUGUACUGCGAGGUAUGCUGGAGGUAUCAGAAGUGCGAAUGCUGACAUAAGUAACGAUAAUGCGGGUGAAAAACCCGCACGCCGGAAGACCAAGGGUUCCUGUCCAACGUUAAUCGGGGCAGGGUGAGUCGACCCCUAAGGCGAGGCAGAAAUGCGUAGUCGAUGGGAAACGGGUUAAUAUUCCCGUACUGGUGAUAAUUGCGAUGGGGGGACGGAGAAGGCUAGGCUAUCCGGGCGACGGUUGUCCCGGUUUAAGGAUGUAGGCAGGUGAAUUAGGCAAAUCCGGUUCACUAUAUGCUGAGGUCCGACGACGAGUCACUACGGUGAUGAAGUAGCUCAUGCCCCGCUUCCAGGAAAAGCCUCUAAGCUCUAGAUUAUCAUUAAUCGUACCCCAAACCGACACAGGUGGUCAGGUAGAGAAUACUCAGGCGCUUGA
rnacentral:rRNA from 1 species